rnacentral:rRNA from 1 species
GAGUUUGAUCGUGGCUCAGAACGAACGCUGGCGGCAGGCUUAACACAUGCAAGUCGAGCGGGCACUUCGGUGUCAGCGGCGGACGGGUGAGUAAUGUAUGAAGAUAUACCCUAUGGAACGGAAUAACGUUUGGAAACGAACGCUAAGACCGUAUAAGCACUGAGGUGGAAAUAUUUAUAGCCAUGGGAUUAUUUCAUAUCGGAUUAGCUAGUUGUUGAGGUAAUGGCUCAACAAGGCGAUGAUCCGUAGCCGGCCUGAGAGGGUGGACGGCCACAUCGGGACUGAGACACGGCCCGAACUCCUACGGGAGGCAGCAGUGGGGAAUAUUGGACAAUGGGGGCAACCCUGAUCCAGCCAUGCCGCGUGCGUGAAGAAGGCCUUAGGGUUGUAAAGCGCUUUUGCUAGGGAUGAUAAUGACCGUACCUAGAGAAUAAGCCCCGGCUAACUCCGUGCCAGCCGCCGCAGUAAU